rnacentral:rRNA from 1 species
AUUUUCCGGUUGAUCCUGCCGGACCUUACUGCUAUCGGGUGGAGACUAAGCCAUGCGAGUUAUGCGCCUUCAAGCCAUGUUGAGGGUGCAGCAUACGGCUCAAUAACACGUAGUUAAUCUGCCCUUGGGACAGGAAUAACCCUGGGAAACUGGGGCUAAUUCCCGAUAGGCGCAGUGGCCUGGAAUGGUACUGCACCUAAAGGGCUCCAGGAACAUGCUCUUGGAGUCGCCCAAGGAUGAGACUGCGGCCGAUCAGGUUGUUGGUGGGGUAACGGCCUACCAAGCCUAUAACCGGUACGGGCCCUGAGAGGGGGGGCCCGGAGAUGGGAACUGAGACAAGGUCCCAGGUCCUACGGGGCGCAGCAGGCGCGAAAACUCCACAAUGCGCGAAUGCGUGAUGGGGUCAGCCCGAGUGCCGUCCGAUGAGGAUGGCUUUUCUUCAGUUUAAGGAGCUGGAGGAAUAAAGGGGGGGCAAGACUGGUGUCAGCCGCCGCGGUAAUACCAGCCCCCUGAGUGGUAAGGACGAUUAUUUGGCCUAAAGCGUCCGUAGCCGGCUUGGUAAGUCUUUCGUUAAAUCCGGCGAUUCCAUCGUCGGGCCGCGGAAGAUACUGCUAGGCUUGAGGACGGGAGAGGUCGACGGUAGUCCCAGGGUAGGGGUGAAAUCCUAUAAUCCUGGGAGGACCACCAGUGGCGAAGGCGGUCGACUAGAACGUGCCUGACGGUGAUGGACGAAAGCUGGGGGAGCGAACCGGAUUAGACACCCGGGUAGUCCCAGCUGUAAACGAUGCGAGCUAGGUGUUAGAGCAACUAUGGGUUGCUCUAGUGCCGCAGAGAAGUUGUUAAGCUCGCCGCCUGGGAAGUACGGCCGCAAGGCUGAAACUUAAAGGAAUUGGCGGGGGAGCACCACAAGGGGUGAAGCCUGCGGUUCAAUUGGAUUCAACGCCGGAAAU